UUUGUUUUUUUUCUGAUCCGCAGCAGAGAUGAUCUACAAAUUUAUAAAUUAAAACUUUUGAGUUUGCUUCCAGGUUAUAUUUAAAAUAGUUUCGUCAUCCACAUUUUAUCUUAGAUAAGGGAAAUCGAGCUUUUUCUGUAGCAGUUCCUAAGCCCUAUGCGUAGAAGUGAAGGGAACAGAAAUGAAGUGCAACCUUUCUCCCGAUUUCUUUCUACAAAAGUAAAUGAGAUAUUUUGUUUAAAACUAAAAGUAAUGUAUUAGCUUACUUUACAAGUUAGGCUAGCCUACUUUACAACUUUACUUUAAAAAACUAAUCUGAUUAAAUAACUAGUGCUAGGGCUCCUUCACACUGAACAAACGCGAGACAAGGGCAGAGGAAUGAGGAAAAAACGCAAGGUCUCGGGACGCGUUUUUGUUUAAAGGUUGAACUGAUUUUAACUUGAACUCCGCGUUUUUAGAACGCCAUGUCAUGCGCGAGACGCUGUAAAAGACGCAAGAUGUGAGCGCAACGGUUUGGGGCCGUCGACAUAUAGCGUCUUUUCCACGCGCAAGUCAGUUAUUUCAAAUGAAGUCGCUCGGCACGCGCGCUCAUAACGGAAGCAACGCGGUCGCGACGCGCAUGCGGUGCAUUUUCCAGGCGCAUCGAGAUGAAAACAUCUAAACUUUUCAGAAUGCCGCAAGCGCACCGCAGGUCAUGUGACAAGAGCCAACCGAUCAGCUUCGGCCUUUCGAUGUCUACAAGGGAGCACACAAGCUGGAUCUACCAAGCCCAGGCAACAACAACAACGCUCCACUAACUCUUAGAGAGAGACACCAUGUUUACUACAGGUUCAUAGUCCUGACCAAAGCAGACAUAUCCCCUCCAUUCAGUG